GGGGGAAGGGACCAGAUUUAAAGGUGCAGCAGCCCCGCCCCUUGAUAGACCUAGGAGGGCAGAUUCUGGCUGCCAGGGAGACUAGUGGCGCCCACCAUGCAAUUUCGACGCCUGACUCCUGGCUACUUCCGGAUUCUACAGAUGCAGGUGGCAGGGGAGCUGAAGGCAGAGCCCCGGAGUCCACUGGUUGGGGUUGUUGCUACACUGC